AUGUUCUGGCAGCACAUAUACUAAAAUUGGACAAUACAGAAUAGAUUAGCAUGACUCCUGUGAAAGGUUAACAUGAAAACUUAUGAAGGUUCCAUAUUAAA
ensembl:snRNA U6 U6 spliceosomal RNA